UCCCUCGUAGCUUAGUCGGUAAAGGAUCUGCCUGCAAUGGAGGAGACCUGGGUUCAAUCCCUGGGUGGGAA
rnacentral:tRNA from 1 species